CUACGGGGUGCAGCAGUAGGGAAUUUUCGGCAAUGGGCGCAAGCCUGACCGGGCAACGCCGCGUGAGUGAUUAAGGCCUUCGGGUCGUAAAGCUCUGUUGUAAAGGAAGAACGAUCAGUAUAGGAAAUGAUACUGAUGUAACGGUACUUUACCAGAAAGCCACGGCUAACUACGUGCCAGCAGCCGCGGUAAUACGUAGGUGGCAAGCGUUAUCCGGAAUUAUUGGGCGUAAAGGGAGCGUAGGCGGUUUAUUAAGUCUAUGGUGAAAGUGCGGGGCUCAACCCCGUAUGGCCAUAGAAACUGAUAGACUAGAGUGCAGAAGAGGGUAGUGGAAUUCCAUAUGUAGCGGUAAAAUGCGUAGAUAUAUGGAGGAACACCGGUGGCGAAGGCGGCUACCUGGUCUGUUACUGACGCUGAGGCUCGAAAGCGUGGGGAGCAAAUAGGAUUAGAUACCCGUGUAGUC
rnacentral:rRNA from 1 species